UACGGAGGAGGCAAGCGUUAUCCGGAAUUAUUGGGCGUAAAGCGUCCGUAGAUGGUUUUGUCAGUCUGCUGCCAAAGCACAGGGCUUAACCCUGUAAAGGCAGUGGAAACUACAAGACUAGAGUGCAGUAGGGGCGGAGGGAAUUCCCAGUGUAGCGGUGAAAUGCGUAGAGAUUGGGAAGAACAUCCGUGGCGAAAGCGCUCUGCUGGACUGCAACUGAUAUUGAGGGACGAAAGCUAGGGGAGCGAAUGGG
rnacentral:rRNA from 1 species